UAGGGAAUUUUCCACAAUGGGACGAAAGUCUGAUGGAGCAACGCCGCGUGAACGAUGAAGGUCUUCGGAUUGUAAAGUUCUGUUGUCAGAGACGAACAAGUACCGUUCGAACAGGGCGGUACCUUGACGGUACCUGACGAGAAAGCCACGGCUAACUACGUG
rnacentral:rRNA from 2 species